CUGCUGCCAAUUCGAAAAGCUUGGGGUCCAGAGAAAAGAUGACACCAAGUUUGUUAGCACUGUCUAUAUCUCCAGCCCUGAGAACCAGGUUCAUGAAGAGAGAUUCCACACUUGUUCUGAGGACGGAAGAGAAAGAUGAUCGACCAGAGCACGAAGGGCUAUUGUUAACUUCCAGUGACACCAGAGAAGGACUUGGAUAGAGAGAGAGAAUUUCUUCGUCUUCUGGGAUGGACAGCUGGCACAACUAAGUAACCAGGAAACAGAAAAAGAGCAAUUUUAGUUAGAGGAGAAUUAUUUCAAUCAGAAAAAAGAGAGCUGCUUGAGCCCCAGGAGUCGUGAUCUUGGGGGAGGACCUGACCGAUGUAAGGAGCACCCAGGGCUCUCAUCUUCAGGCCAUUCUGCUGUGAUAUGUUCCAAGGG